CAACCUGGUCCCAAGAUCGGGGCAUUCAGGAAGCACACGCACAGGGGACAGAGUAGGGCAUGCUAACGUUAGCCUCUAGGUAAUUCAAGGUGACACGAGUCCCAGUAGUGUGUCCUAGUUUGGCAUAAGAAACCAAAGCCCAGACCCUUAAGCACACUGCUCCAGGGCAGUGUUAGCACAGCUCUGCUCUCCUAGUCAAGCGGUGGGUGCAGGCCAGGCUACACAGCGCCACCAACAAGGGGGGAUUAGAAAUGGGGACGUUGCUGGGUCAUCAGAUGACCACAGAGCGCUCUCACAAUGAGACUCAUCUGUUGAUACAUUUGCCCUCACAGAUCCUCACAGCACUCUUUAGUGCUUGAAGCAGCUUGCUUCUCCACCCCUUGAAAGGACAAUCCUAGCGAUUCCGGCAUCAAUGAGCCUGAACUUCUGUCUGACAUAGUUACCCUGCACCCUCCUACAGGUGCUGAGCUAGCUAACAGCUGGGAUCCAGCCGCAGGAAGGCAGGGAGUGAGGCAGUGCCGGGACCCAGCUCUGGAGCCCACCCUGCAAACAGAAUGAAUCUCAACCCACUCUGCACCCACCACCAAUCUAAACCACACCGGAGACGUCAAUCUGAGCAACUGUAGCACGGUGAAAUGUGCUAGACUCUGGCAGCCAAGGCCCGCAUCUCAGUAAAGCGCGUCUUUCCUCCGGCCUUUGGGCCAGCCUGUGGUGGAUGAGGGAAAUCCCGCCCUCCCUCCCCUAGGGCCCAGGCACACCGCUGGUUGAAGUGCUGCUCUCGGACAUCGCUGCCAUUCAGCACCAGGACAUCGAGGAUGUGGAUUGCACUGAUCUUCCGCUGGGCCUUCCCCUGCAAGGGACAAGCACGCUCUCCACUGUGCAGGUGCUAGCCUCUGGCCUACAGUGGCAUGCAGGCUCCAUCCACCCAGAGUCAACUGGGAAAGUGGUAUCUGGCCUCCCUGCCAGCUGACCCUAAGCAAAGACUAGCUUGGACUUGAGAGCUGGCUUUAGGGGCAUGCACCCUCGUGAAUCUCAAACACAGUGAGACUGUGGCCAUGCUUGCUUCUGCCAGGACUGGCUUUCCACUGUUGCCUGUUCACAUGGGUGUUCUAAACGUCAUCCCUAUACAGAAAUAACGCAAACCUCACAGAAAUGGCAGGUCUCUUCCUAAGAGAUUGCUACUAAAAACACCUGGCAGGUGUCAGGACUGUGGAUAGAGACUUUCUGUCUGCCCCUUCCCAGUGUCUCCACAGUACAUGGCAACUGCUUUAGAGGGAAUUACUCCAUCACACAUGAAACAACGCUAAGGUGGACGGCCAGGCUUCAUGGUCCCCCUCUCGCCUCAGGGCCAUCUAUGAAUAGAAACCCUUCUGACCUCGCCUUUCAGCUCAUGCACAAUCUCCACACAGAGCAGCGUGUCCCGCGGCAGCUCUGUCUUCAGGUCCAGCUUCACCCAACGGUCUGACUGGCGGCCAUCCCAUGUGUAGAUCUGGGACUUCUGCAGGCAGGAAGAAAGGUAGCAUGGACACUGAGGAAAGGAAGGUCGAUUCUCAAAAGAGCUUUUACUUGUGGCUGCAAGCAGACAAGGGCCAGCCAGUGUCAGUAGAAAAUGUCUAGGAGAGGUGGUUUGUGAAACUUUCCUCCUCAGCCUCCACAGGAGAGUAGAGAUGGGCGCCAUCUUACUGGUAGGGAACCCUACAAAGGCCUUCAUCUAGUUUGAUGUACAUGUGGAGGUUGGGAUUACAGGAACAGGAGAAAAUACAAAGUAAAGCCACAAAACAAGUGACUGGGGAAGAGUCAACUACGUGGAAGGCAAGGGGUAGGAAAAAGCAAUGGCUGCUUGUCAAGUAAGAUGUAAAAGUUAACAGGCAAUCCCUCCCUCUGUUAAGCCAACAAUGUCCCAGAGGAGGGAGAAGGGUGUCCUCUAGACAGGAAAUGGCAGGGGGUGGGAUUGGAGAAAACUGGCCACCCAGGACAAGUCUGAGGGCUCUACAUUUCAAGAAAAGCAAGAGCCUUGCCUUCAGCAAGGCAGGGAUCAGCAGUGAAGAAGAAAGAAAUAUGCUUGACAAACUCUGGGCACAAAAGAGAGUGGCCAGCACCCACAUCUCCAGACAGAAGACACUGCUACCACCCCGAGGCCACGGGAGGCCAGCUGUGACUUACCCCCAGGCCCAGGAGGAAUUUCUGCUCGCUGCCAGACACCAUGCAACGAUAAUCCAACACAGGGCGGAUCUUCUCCAGGGUUUUGGCAGUGAGCAUUGUGGGCUUGUAGCUAAAGAUGUUGAUGUCGGUGUCCUGUGGAACAGAUGAGAAAAAUGCUGCUGUGCCGGAGCAGGCUGCAGAGGUGAGGGACAGGAAUCAUCUGCUCUCUGAAGCAGGCUCUCCUGCACCCUCCUCUCCACCCAGCCACUCCCUAAACAGAAUCCAUUCCUAUCUGCUCGCAAUGUCCUUUUAGGCCCUACUAGGAGAAACUAGGGAAGGAAAGAACACUGAGUUUCAAGUACAGAAGGAUUUACCAGAGCUGUGGGGAAUGUCACCAGAAUAGAGCAGCUACGCAAUCAGUGACACCAAAAGCAAGGGUUCCCCAACAGUUGGCCUGAGAGCAGAGAAUUAAUCUCUCUGCCCCAUUCAGAAAAAUGUAAGCAUCUUGAACUCAUUCUUUAGUCUUUGGCCCUCACAAAACCAGCACAAUGACCACAGCUGGGCCAGACUGAAGUGACACCCUGGAGGCUGAUGCCAGAACACUUAAGACCAGCUCACUAAAGACAGAAUAGAGACGCUCAGGCUAGACCCACUGUGGCUCUUUGCAGUUCCCAAGAUCAUCAGUCAUCCCCUCUCUCCCAAGCAGACAAAUCCCAUAUGACCUUUAAUUUUUUAGAACCUUUUGGGUGGCAGAAUGCUGGCCCACACCCAUCUUGAUUCUUGCUGGCCAGAGUUAUUCUUGGGAAACCCUAUGUAAAACAGCAAGGCUCUCACUUGUGGAGACCUUAGUCCACUCCUUUAGGUUCCAAGGUUGAUGCCUUCUUUUUUUUUUUUUUGGUUUUUUGAGACAGGGUUUCUCUGUAUUGUUUUGGAGGCUGUCCUGGAACUCACUCUGUAGACCAGGCUGGCCUCGAACUCACAGAGAUCCGCCUGCCUCUGCCUCCCGAGUGCUGGGAUUAAAGGCGUGCGCCAGGUUGAUGCCUUCUUAAUCCUUAUUGGAAGUCAGGUACCUCAGUGACACCUUCCAUCCCUAGAAAAAGGCCCUUAAUAUAUUGCCACAGAAGCCAGAUUUACCUUGAUUAGCUCAAAAAACUUGAAUUUUGGGUCUGAAGAAGAAGGAGCAACUCGAGCUCGGUCUGGGAUCUGCAAGGAGAGAGAGAUACCAAAGGUUUUUUUUUUUUCAUUUAUGUGUGUGGAUGUGUUGGGGGUCUAUAUGUUCGUGUACCACGUGUGUGCCUGCAGAGACCAGAAGAAGGCAUCAGAUCUUUAGGAACUGGAGUUACAGGCAGUUGUGAGCUACCAUGUGCUGCAAACCAAAUGUGGGUCCUCUGGGAGAGCAGCUAGUGCUCUUGACCUGAGCCAUCUCUGCAGCCCCGGCUUUGGUUUUCAAGUGCCCUGUUGAUACAUCGUGAGGACACAUGUUUAGGCUGGGUACAGAGGAGAUGGCACGCAAGCAAGCAGGCCUGGCAAGGGAGCUAGAGGUAAAACAUUCACUCCCUGUCACGACAACUCAAAAAGCCAAGUCCUUUCCUCUAUGUGUGUAACUACAUGGGGUCAUCAGGGCAAAACUGUGUUCUUUUGGCCCUUCUGCAGACCAAGCUGUAACUUGCAACAUGCCAAGGAGCUGGACACCCUUUCAGGUGGGGGGUAAGGUGACAAUCCUGUUUUCAUCUCCAGCUUCCUGGUCUGGAGUGACAAUGGGCUGCUUACCUCCCACAGUCGGAGGCAUUCUUUCCGGAUCUCUGCCUGCCUAGGCUCACUCAGGGUGCUAGAGAAACAAAACCAGAACAAGAUUUAGACCUCUAAGGGGCCCUGUGAUCUUCUCACCUGCUUAGAGGUACACCUCCAACAGUGAAAAUUAGAGUCCACAUAGAGGACUAACCUCCAAAGGCAACUCAGAAUUUAUAUACUGAAAUCACUUCCCUUCCCACCAACUGCAGCCACCACCUGGAUGCCCUCCUUCCCUCCACCAUCAAGCAUAUUCUGAUUUCUGAUCUCAAAGACAUUGACACUUGAUAUCCCACAAGGCAAACUGAACCCACAAGAGUGGCUUUUAAGUCACUGUUAAAGAAACAGAGUUGGUGGGAAAAGCAAAGAGAGGGCCUCCUUUGACAUUGGUGGGAAAUAGCAGUACUCACGUGUCUUGUACAAAGGCAUGUAUUUUGGCCAGAGCUUUGAUCUGCAGGCUGCAGUGGCUAAGAGAAAGCAAACAAAAACACAAUGGCAUCAGUGUAGAAGUGUAGCCAGAGCAGUGGCCAUCUGUAUGUGAGGAAGCUACCGGUGAGUUAAAUGGAGCCCAAAGACAGAGCAGAACAAACCUGAGCUGAACCCUCAUCACAACUCCUGCUGAAAGGAAGGUUCGUAUCCCACUCUUACAGAAUUCAAACACAGUGGUGAACUGGCUCUAAGCAACAGCAAAGGCCCCGCCCAGUUCAACUGCAGACAUCACUGACAAACCCACUGCACUGACAACUGUCCUUUAGCCUGGCACACACACAGUGUCUGGCACUUAGUAAAAACUACUGAGGGGGCUGGGGAGGUGGCUCAGCAGGUAAAGUGCUUGCUCUGCAAACAUUGGACGAGAGUCCAGGUUCUCAGGACCUGAAUAAAUCCUGGGCAAGCACUGGCAGCUCGCCAGAGAUUCCAGCACUGAGGAGGUGGAGACAGGAUCUCUGGAACAAACUGGCUAGCUAGGCUAGGUGAGUUGGUGAGCUCUAGGUUCAAGUGAGAGACCCUACCUCAGUAUAUAAGGUAGAAAGCAUUUGAGGACGACACCUGACAUCAACCUGCGGCCUCUUGAAAACCAGAGGAAAAGGCACAUAAUACACAAGAAAAUAAUGACAAAACUAACAGUGGCAGUUGGAGGUGGCUCAGUGGUUAAAAGCACCCACAUCAAGCGGCUCACAACCACCUGUAACUCCAGCUUCAGGGAUCCAAUGUUCUGGCCACUGCAGACAAAGGCACUCGCAUGCACAGACACAAAAUUGGAAAGAAAAUAUUUUUUGAUAGUGAACUUCCCGUCAGAAGAAAGGGAUGUGAGAAACGUGGACUAUCGUUAAAGUGGUAAAAGAAAAAAUUUCAUAUCUAAAUAAAAUGUUCCUCAAAAAUAA